AGCCCCAAGGUGUACAACAUAUAAGAUUGCAAAUCUUGAGAGGCAGACUAACAUCUGCUGGGGCUU
rnacentral:tRNA from 3 species